GUAAGGUCAGGUGAGGUCAGACAGUAUCGUGUAGUAGAAUACUGGAACAGAGAGAGAGGGAGGUAAGGUGAGGUCAGGUAAGGUCAGGUGAGGUCAGACAGUAUCGUGUAGUAGAAUACUGGAACAGAGAGAGAGGGAGGUAAGGUGAGGUCAGGUAAGGUCAGGUGAGGUCAGACAGUAUCGUGUAGUAGAAUACUGGAACAGAGAGAGAGGGAGGUAAGGUGAGGUCAGGUAAGGUCAGGUGAGGUCAGACAGUAUCGUGUAGUAGAAUACUGGAACAGAGAGAGAGGGAGGUAAGGUGAGGUCAGGUAAGGUCAGGUGAGGUCAGACAGUAUCGUGUAGUAGAAUACUGGAACAGAGAGAGAGGGAGGUAAGGUGAGGUCAGGUAAGGUCAGGUGAGGUCAGACAGUAUCGUGUAGUAGAAUACUGGAACAGAGAGAGAGGGAGGUAAGGUGAGGUCAGGUAAGGUCAGGUGAGGUCAGGUAAGAUCAGGUGAGGUCAGGUAAGAUCAGGUGAGGUCAGGUAAGAUCAGGUGAGGUCAGGUAAGAUCAGGUGAG